CGAUCCCUUCGGGGAUAGCGGCGGACGGGUGAGUAACGCGUGGGAAUAUGCCCUUUGGUACGGAACAACAGCUGGAAACGGCUGCUAAUACCGUAUGUGCCCUACGGGGGAAAGAUUUUUCGCCAAAGGAUUAGCCCGCGUCGGAUUAGAUAGUUGGUGAGGUAACGGCUCACCAAGUCGACGAUCCGUACCUGGUUUGAGAGGAUGAUCAGGCACACUGGGACUGAGACACGGCCCAG
rnacentral:rRNA from 1 species